rnacentral:rRNA from 1 species
CAGCAGUGGGGAAUAUUGCGCAAUGGGGGAAACCCUGACGCAGCAAUACCGCGUGAGUGAAGAAGGUUUUCGGAUCGUAAAGCUCUGUUAUUGGGGAAGAAAAAAAGACGGUACCCAAGAAGAAAGUCCCGGCUAACUACGUGCCAGCAGCCGCGGUAAUACGUAGGGGACAAGCGUUGUCCGGAUUUACUGGGCGUAAAGGGCACGCAGGCGGUUUUUUAAGUCAGAUGUGAAAGGUACCGGCUCAACCGGUGACAUGCAUUUUAAACUGAAAGACUUGAGUAUUGGAGAGGCAAGUGGAAUUCCUAGUGUAGCGGUGAAAUGCGUAGAUAUUAGGAGGAACACCGGUGGCGAAGGCGGCUUGCUGGACAAAUACUGACGCUGAGGUGCGAAAGCGUGGGGAGCAAACAGGAUUAGA